UAUCUUCCGGAAAAGAGCUCACUUUCUGUGGCUUGACAGUAAAUAAAACAUUAUGCUUUGAUAGUUGUCAAGUUGAACGUUUUAGCAUAUUUAUCACAUCAAACAUAGUGUAAAAUUUGUUAAUCCUAAAAUUUUCUAAUACAGGUGUGACUGAUUGGAGCAGGUUCUCCUCCAAGUACAAAACCGAUAUACGGACAAUGUACUCAGUGAUGAACUGCUCCCAGUGCUAUUGUCUAUACAAGAGCUGCAUGCCGGGUUACGUUGGAAGAGGAAAGCGGGGUGAGCUGCGGGGGAUAUAUUCGGAAGAUCCUCACCCUGGAUUCUGCAGUCAAUUUUGCCAAAUAAUGGCAGGGGUUCCUGAGUAGGGAUAAGGAUCUGCGCACACAAUAA